rnacentral:rRNA from 1 species
GAUCCUGCUCAGGAUGAACGCUGGCGGCGUGCCUAACACAUGCAAGUCGAGCGAAGCACUUUGCUUAGAUUCUUCGGAUGAAGAGGAUUGUGACUGAGCGGCGGACGGGUGAGUAACGCGUGGGUAACCUGCCUCAUACAGGGGGAUAACAGUUAGAAAUGACUGCUAAUACCGCAUAAGACCACAGCACCGCAUGGUGCGGGGGUAAAAACUCCGGUGGUAUGAGAUGGACCCGCG